rnacentral:rRNA from 1 species
AUUGAACGCUGGCGGCAUGCCUUACACAUGCAAGUCGAACGGCAGCACGGGAGCUUGCUCCUGGUGGCGAGUGGCGAACGGGUGAGUAAUACAUCGGAACGUACCCUGAAGUGGGGGAUAACGUAGCGAAAGUUACGCUAAUACCGCAUAUUCUGUGAGCAGGAAAGAGGGGGAUCGCAAGACCUCUUGCUUUAGGAGCGGCCGAUGUCGGAUUAGCUAGUUGGUGAGGUAAAGGCUCACCAAGGCGACGAUCCGUAGCGGGUCUGAGAGGAUGAUCCGCCACACUGGGACUGAGACACGGCCCAGACUCCUACGGAGGCAGCAGUGGGGAAUUUUGGACAAUGGGCGCAAGCCUGAUCCAGCCAUGCCGCGUGAGUGAAGAAGGCCUUCGGUUGGUUAAA